CGUGUGUGUGUGUGUGUGUGUGUGUGUGCGUAUGUGUGUGUGUGUGUGUGUAUGUGUGUGUUUGGCUAAACUUCGAUGAAGUACAACUUAUAGUUAGUCUUACGGUUAGUUUCGAGUUUUCAUUUUGAUAAUAAAACACACAUAUACAAAUC